GUCAAUUUGGCCGAGUGGUCUAAGGCGUCCGACUCAAGUUCGGAUCUCGCAAGAGGCGAGGGUUCGAAUCCCUCAGUUGACA